rfam:Brachypodium distachyon strain Bd21 chromosome 3, whole genome shotgun sequence.
AUUGUACUCCCUCCGAUCCUAGAUUCUUGUCUCAAAUUUGCCCAAAUAUGGACGUAUCUAUUCUUAAAAGGUGUCUAGAUACAUGUAAUAUUUCGACAACAAUUUAGGAUCGGAGGGAGUACUUA